AUAGUAGCUCAAUAAUUCAAUAUCUUAAAAUUCGGAAAAACACAAGAGACGUGUAAUAAAAUUUCUUAAUUAGUGGAUACAAAUUAGCUUCAACUUCUUGCUUCAAUAUUUGGCUUAGUCGGUGGACUCAUCAGCGCCCGCCCCUCUAUCUAUGUUACCAGAAUUUUGAAUCGAGAAUCAGAUAAGCAAGAAGAAAACGAGGCUUAGAUGGGAUUUGUCAUUGUGAUUUCUGUGCCAUUACUACUACUAGUCCUAAUCAUAUUUUUAGCUGCUUAUCUGCUUGGAAGGGCUCGAGCUCGUACUGCAGCAACGCAGUAUUAUGGACCUCCUGCUCCGCCAUUCAGAGGCCCACCGCCUUCAGAAGGAAAAACAUCACAAGUUUAGUUAAUUUCAAGGUACCUGUGAGUCUGUGACUCAGAUCAGCAAGUAUUUACUAGGUUUAAUUUACUAAACACACAGAAAGUGGAAGUGGUUGAUGUAUAUAAUUCACUGUUUGUUGUGAAAUUACAUGAUUAAUAUCUGAAUCUGUUGUUUAUCUGCGUAUAGCGAAUUAUUUCCUGUAUUUUUAAAGCUUAUGUAACUUAUUUGAACUUCCAGAUCUUAGAUAUCCAUGAAUCAUAAUUAUUAAAAGAUACUGUGGAAAAUAAGCUUCAAGUGCAAAAGUGAUUCAUUA